GCGGAAUCCAGUACAGGGGCCUAUCACCAUCAACAAAGCAACAUAUGGAGGCCCCUUGUGUUCUGCUUCCAUGGGCAGAAACCACGCUUCAGCUGGGAGAGCCAGAAAAGUUACGGAGGAGACACACCCUGACCACCUUCCUUUUUUCCUGAGAAAACCCUGGCUGUUUCUUUAAGAGAUGAAGAACAACUUCCAUGUUUCAUUUUGCUUCUGAAAUCGCUCUGUGACAAGGAGUCACAUCUUCAUUGCUAAUGACUGAUCUCGAACUUCCCCCAGGGGUCUUGUUCUACUAGAUAAAGGGGGAGAGGGAAUUCACUGCAUACUUCGCUUAAUUUGUUUGGAAACCAGCUACAUACUGCAAUACCCACCAGUGUUAUAAUGCAGUACGUAAGACCAUUCAGAAAGCACAGCGAAAUCACGUUGUUACGUGCAGCCACAGAGUAAAAGAAGGAAAAGCUCAGGGUAGGUCAUCGAAGGCGAGGAGGAAGAGUAGUAGCUUUAUAACAAAACAGAACCAAGAUCAAAUUCUGCUGGCGUGGGGAGCUGCAGUCAGAAAAGAAAAGUGUUACACACCAACUUCUGCGGUUCAGUAUCAUGGUUGGGAGGUGCCCUAAUAACACUCCCGUAAAAGCAAACACAUCCUAGAUGCAUUCCAACUUGUGGGAUUUGAAGUUUUGAAUUUCUAUGGCAUCAAUACCUGUUUUGAAUCGGAAAUAAAGCAGAUGAGAAAU